rnacentral:rRNA from 1 species
GACGAACGCUGGCGGCGUGCUUAACACAUGCAAGUCGAACGGAAAGGCCCCCACUUUUUUGGUGGGGGUGCUCGAGUGGCGAACGGGUGAGUAACACGUGGGUGAUCUGCCCUGUACUUCAGGAUAAGCUUGGGAAACUGGGUCUAAUACCGGAUAGGACCAUGGUUUAGUGUCUCAUGGUGGAAAAAUUAUUGUUUUGGUGCAGGAUGAGCUCGCGGCCUAUCAGCUUGUUGGUGGGGUAAUGGCCUACCAAGGCGUCGACGGGUAGCCGGCCUGAGAGGGUGGACGGCCACAUUGGGACUGAGAUACGGCCCAGACUCCUACGGGAGGCAGCAGUGGGGAAUAUUGCACAAUGGGCGCAAGCCUGAUGCAGCGACGCCGCGUGGGGGAUGACGGCCUUCGGGUGGUAAACUCCUUUCGUUAGGGACGAAGCCGCACCUUUUUUGGGUGUGGUGACGGUACCUUUGUUAAGAAGCACCGGCUAACUACGUG